rnacentral:rRNA from 1 species
UGUGGGUCGGAGUGAAAGGCUAAUCAAACCCGGAGAUAGCUGGUUCUCCCCGAAAGCUAUUUAGGUAGCGCCUCGCGUCUCACUCUCGGGGGUAGAGCACUGUUUCGGCUAGGGGGCCAUCCCGGCUUACCAACCCGAUGCAAACUCCGAAUACCGAGAAGUGCAAUCGCGGGAGACAGACGGCGGGUGCUAACGUCCGUCGUCAAGAGGGAAACAACCCAGACCGCCAGCUAAGGUCCCCAAAUCAUGGCUCAGUGGCAAACGAGGUGGGAAGGCCCAGACAGCCAGGAGGUUGGCUUAGAAGCAGCCACCCUUUAAAGAAAGCGUAAUAGCUCACUGGUCGAGUCGGCCUGCGCGGAAGAUUCAACGGGGCUUAAGCCAUGUACCGAAGCUGCGGAUGCGGGCAACCGCAUGGUAGGGGAGCGUUCCGUAGGCCGGUGAAGGUGUGCCGUCAGGCAUGCUGGAGGUAUCGGAAGUGCGAAU